rnacentral:rRNA from 1 species
GACGAACGCUGGCGGCGUGCUUAACACAUGCAAGUCGAACGGAAAGGCCCUGCUUUUGUGGGGUGCUCGAGUGGCGAACGGGUGAGUAACACGUGAGUAACCUGCCCUUGACUUUGGGAUAACUUCAGGAAACUGGGGCUAAUACCGGAUAGGAGCUCCUGCUGCAUGGUGGGGGUUGGAAAGUUUCGGCGGUGGGGGAUGGACUCGCGGCUUAUCAGCUUGUUGGUGGGGUAGUGGCUUACCAAGGCUUUGACGGGUAGCCGGCCUGAGAGGGUGACCGGCCACAUUGGGCCUGAGAUACGGCCCAGACUCCUACGGGCGGCAGCAGUGGGGAAUAUUGCACAAUGGGCGGAAGCCUGAUGCAGCAACGCCGCGUGCGGGAUGACGGCCUUCGGGUUGUAAACCGCUUUCGCCUGUGACGAAGCGUGAGUGACGGUAAUGGGUAAAGAAGCACCGGCUAACUACGUG